rnacentral:rRNA from 1 species
AGUGAACGCUGGCGGUAGGCCUAACACAUGCAAGUCGAACGGCAGCACAGUAAGAGCUUGCUCUUACGGGUGGCGAGUGGCGGAAGGGUGAGGAAUACAUCGGAAUCUACUUUUUCGUGGGGGUUAACGUAGGGAAACUUACGCUCAUACCGCAUCCGCCCUACGGGUGAAAGCAGGGGAUCUUCGGACCUUGCGCGAUUGAAUGAGCCGAUGUCGGAUUAGCUAGUUGGCGGGGUAAAGGCCCACCAAGGCGACGAUACGUAGCUGGUCUGAGAGGAUGAUCAGCGACACUGGAACUGAGACACGGUCCAGAGUCCUACGGGAGGGAGCAGUGGGGAAUAUUGGACAAUGGGCGCAAGCCUGAUCCAGCCAUACCGCGUGGGUGAAGAAGGCCUUCGGGGUGGAAAGCCCGUUUGUUGGGAAAGAAAAGCAGCAGGUUAAUACCCCGCUGUUCUGACGGUACCCAAAGAAUAAGCACCGGCUAACUUCGUG